GAGGGUAUAGCUCAGUGGUAGAGCGCGUGCUGGGCAUACACAGGGUCCUGGGUUCAAUCCCCAGUCCCUCCA
rnacentral:tRNA from 1 species